AUUGAACGCUGGCGGCAUGCUUUACACAUGCAAGUCGAACGGCAGCACGGGGGCUUGCUCCUGGUGGCGAGUGGCGAACGGGUGAGUAAUGCAUCGGAACGUACCCAGUAGUGGGGGAUAGCCCCGGCGAAAGCCGGAUUAAUACCCGCAUAUUUCCUGAGGGAGAAAGCGGGGGACCUUCGGGCCUCGCGCUACUGGAGCGGCUGAUGUCGGAUUAGCUAGUUGGUGAGGUAAAGGCUCACCAAGGCGACGAUCCGUAGCUGGUCUGAGAGGAUGAUCAGCCACACUGGGACUGAGACACGGCCCAGACUCCUACGGGAGGCAGCAGUGGGGAAUUUUGGACAAUGGGGGCAACCCUGAUCCAGCCAUGCCGCGUGAGUGAAGAAGGCCCU
rnacentral:rRNA from 1 species